AUUGAACGCUGGCGGCAUGCCUAACACAUGCAAGUCGAACGGUAACAGGCCGCAAGGUGCUGACGAGUGGCGAACGGGUGAGUAAUGCAUCGGAACGUGCCCAGUCGUGGGGGAUAACGCAGCGAAAGCUGCGCUAAUACCGCAUACGAUCUCUGGAUGAAAGCGGGGGACCGAAAGGCCUCGUGCGAUUGGAGCGGCCGAUGUCAGAUUAGGUAGUUGGUGGGGUAAAGGCUCACCAAGCCAACGAUCUGUAGCUGGUCUGAGAGGACGACCAGCCACACUGGGACUGAGACACGGCCCAGACUCCUACGGGAGGCAGCAGUGGGGAAUUUUGGACAAUGGGCGCAAGCCUGAUCCAGCAAUGCCGCGUGCAGGAAGAAGGCCUCCGGGUUGUAAACUGCUUUUGUACGGAACGAAACGGUCCUGGUUAAUACCUGGGGCUAAUGACGGUACCGUAAGAAUAAGCACCGGCUAACUACGUGCCAGCAGCCGCGGUAAAAC
rnacentral:rRNA from 1 species